AACGAACGCUGGCGGCAUGCUUAACACAUGCAAGUCGAACGUGAAAGUGGGCUUCGGCCCGCGAGUAAAGUGGCGCACGGGUGAGUAACACGUGGAUAAUCUACCCGAUGAUCUGGAAUAACACUUCGAAAGGGGUGCUAAUACCGGAUAAGCUCACGACGUCUUCGGACGAUGUGGGAAAAGGGGGCUUCGGCUCCUGUCAUCGGAUGAGUCCGCGGCCCAUUAGCUAGUUGGUAGGGUAAUGGCCUACCAAGGCGACGAUGGGUAGCGGGUCUGAGAGGAUGAACAGCCACACUGGAACUGAGCCACGGUCCAGACUCCUACGGGAGGCAGCAGUGGGGAAUUUUGCGCAAGGGGCGAAAGCCUGACGCAGCAAUGCCGCGUGAGUGAUGAAGGCCUUCGGGUCGUAAAGCUCUGUCAGAGGGGGAGAAACUCCUGCCGGUUAAUACCCGGCGGGCCUGACGGUACCCUCAAAGGAAGCACCGGCUAACUCCGUGCCAGCCGCCGCGGUAA
rnacentral:rRNA from 1 species